UCUCAGGCCUAACACAUGCAAGUCGAGCGAUGAAACUUCCUUCGGGAAGUGGAUUAGCGGCGGACGGGGGAGUAACACGUGAGCAACCUGCCUCAAAGAGGGGGAUAGCCUUCCGAAAGGAAGAUUAAUACCGCAUAAUAUCAGAGUUUCGCAUGAUUUUUUGAUUAAAGGAGAAAUCCACUUUGAGAUGGGCUCGCGGCGCAUUAGCUAGUUGGGGAGGUAACGGCUCACCAAGGCGACGAUGCGUAGCCGACCUGAGAGGGGGAUCGGCCACAUUGGGACUGAGACACGGCCCAGACUCCUACGGGAGGCAGCAGUGGGGAAUAUUGCGCAAUGGACGAAAGUCUGACGCAGCAACGCCGCGUGGGGGAUGAAGGUCUUCGGAUUUUAAAGCCCUGUCUUCGAGGACGAUAAUGACGGUACUCGAGGAGGAAGCCACGGCUAACUACGUGCCAGCAGCCGCGGUAAUACGUAGGGGGCAAGCGUUUUCCGGAUUUACUGGGCGUAAAGAGUGUGUAGGCGGAUAAUUAAGUCAGAUGUGAAAGCCCAAGGCUCAACCUUGGAGGGGCAUUUGAUACUGGUUAUCUAGAGUGCGGGAGAGGAGAGUGGAAUUCCUAGUGUAGCGGGGAAAUGCGUAGAGAUUAGGAAGAACACCAGUGGCGAAGGCGACUCUCUGGACCGUAACUGACGCUGAGACACGAAAA
rnacentral:rRNA from 1 species